UACGUAGGGUGCAAGCGUUGUCCGGAAUUAUUGGGCGUAAAGAGCUCGUAGGCGGUUCGUCGCGUCGGCUGUGAAAUCCCGAGGCUCAACCUCGGGUCUGCAGUCGAUACGGGCGGACUGGAGUUCGGCAGGGGAGACUGGAAUUCCUGGUGUAGCGGUGAAAUGCGCAGAUAUCGGGAGGAACACCGGUGGCGAAGGCGGUUCUCUGGGCCUGUACUGACGCUGAGGAGCGAAAGCGUGGGGAGCGAACAGG
rnacentral:rRNA from 1 species